rnacentral:rRNA from 1 species
UACGAAGGGGGCGAGCGUUGUUCGGAAUUACUGGGCGUAAAGGGCGCGUAGGUGGCCUUUUGAGUCAGACGUGAAAUCCCCCGGCUUAACCUGGGAACUGCGUCUGAUACUGGAAGGCUUGAGUUCGGGAGAGGGAUGUGGAAUUCCAGGUGUAGCGGUGAAAUGCGUAGAUAUCUGGAGGAACACCGGUGGCGAAGGCGGCAUCCUGGACCGAAACUGACACUGAGGCGCGAAAGCCAGGGGAGCAAACGGG